GGCAAGAUGGCUCAGUGGUUAAGAGCACUGACUGCUUAUCCAGAGGUCCUGAGUUCAAAUCCCAGCCA
rfam:Rattus norvegicus chromosome 12, whole genome shotgun sequence.